CUGGGAGCUGUUUAUUUAUGGCUGCAAAUGUGUGUGUGCAAGAGAGAGGGAGAAUUGAUCUUUGCCUGGACUUAAAGAUGGAGCCGAAGGCGCUGGAGGGAAUUUGGGUUUGUGCGUCUGGCUCAGACCCUGGGCGCCGAACGGGGCCGCUUGGCACGGAGCCCGAGGUCUUUCUUUGCCGCACCCCUCACCUCGAGACCUUGCAGGAAUCCGCGGGCCCAGGAGCGGCCUGACGGGCCCAUCUGCCCCGGGCCCGGCUGCCGAGAAAGGCUUCGUGGAGGGGGCCAUCCAGUCCCUGUCUUUAAAAUGAGCGCAAUAAAAGGGGGCAAAUCCUCAAACGCGAACCUGAUCGCUUGUCACAGAAGCAACUUGCCAUGAAAUCCGCUAAUGCGCCGCGACUCGCCCACCGGGCUCCCUGGUGCUCGAGGCUGGAGAGGGAGGCCGGUCCGGAAAAGAGGCUGGAGAGAGAUCAGUAACCCCCGGCAUUGGUGUAACCAGCGCGCGCCCAAUGCAGUCGUAUUCCUCGAAUGCGCGCACCGCCCGCCACACUUGGAGAAUCCAGCCCACAGAGGUUUCGGAAACCCCAUUUUCCUGAUUGCAGCCCAGACUCUGGAACCCCGCAAGCCUUCCGGGGAAGCGAGCCCAAUCCAGACCAAGCAGACCUCUGGCGCUGCCGGGUUCGUACAACCACUAAAGCAGCGUCAUCUUGAGAGUUAUUUUGGGGAAAAAGACCUGGGACCUGGGUUUGAGUUAAAGACGUUAGAGGCAAGGGACAGAUGGCCCAGCAUUUCUUUGGAACGAGGCAGAACUGAGAACUACCCAGCUGGACCAGCAUUGCCGAAAACUGGAGAUUAGGAAAUGUAUUCUCCUCGCACACACAGUAGCACACAUCUCCUCCGACGGCGAGUUCACCCCUACGCCAGGGGCCUCUGGCUCCGCCGCUGCGUUUCCCAGACGCCCUUUCGGCCUUCUCCAGGUUUUGCCAGGCAAAUGAAACGAGCAGAACUCGAUGGUAAAUUAUUUUGUUCAGCCUUCCGUCUUUUUAUAAAAAUAAAAGGCAACACUUUGUCA
rnacentral:lncRNA from 1 species